rnacentral:rRNA from 1 species
CAAGAGGGAAACAGCCCAGAUCACCAGCUAAGGCCCCUAAAUAAUGACUAAGUGAUAAAGGAAGUGGAAAGGCUUAGACAACCAGGAGGUUUGCUUAGAAGCAGCAAUCCUUUAAAAAGUGCGUAAUAGCUUACUGGUCUAGCAAUUCUGCGCCGAAAACUUACGGGACUAAGUCAUUUGCCGAAGCUGUGAGAUAGUUAUGAUUCCAGAUUUGAGAGGGAAACCUCCGUUGAUGGACUAAAUGUUUUAGAACAUACUAUCGGUAGGGGAGCGUUCUGUUCUAGGUUGAAGUGUUAGCGAAAGCGGGCAUGGACGAAACAGAAGUGAAAAUGUCGGAUUGAGUAGCGAAAACAUUGGUGAGAAUCCAAUGCUCCGAAAACCUAAGGUUUCCUCCGCAAGGCUCGUCCACGGAGGGUGAGUCAGGACCUAAGGUGAGGCUGAAAAGCGUAGCUGAUGGACAAUAGGUUAAUAUUCCUAUACUGAUUCUUACUGGUAUCGAGGGACGAAGAAGGCUAAACUAGCCAGAUAUUGGUUACUGGUUUAAGUUAUUGAGGUGUUGAAGAUUAGAGAAAAUAAUCUGAGCUGAAAAACAAAUACACGAUUUUAAAAAUCAAAGUAGUUGAUGUCAUACUUCCAAGAAAAGCUCGCUAUGCCUUAAGUAAGAAUUACCUGUACCUUAAACCGACACAGGUAGGUAGGUAGAGAAUACCAAGGAGCGCGGGAGAACCCUCCUUAAGGAACUCGGCAAAAUAACUCUGUAACUUCGGAAGAAAGAGUGCCUUUUAGGCUGCAAUAUCAAGUUCCAAGCAACUGUUUAGCAAAAACACAGGUCUCCGCUAAGUGGCAACACGACGUAUGGGGGCUGACGCCUGCCCAGUGCCGGAAGGUUAAAGAAGUCGGUUAGCGUAAGCAAAGCUGGUAACUGAAGCCCCGGUGAACGGCGGCCGUAACUAUAACGGUCCUAAGGUAGCGAAAUUCCUGGUCGGGUAAGUUCCGACCCGCACGAAUG